GCACCCGUAGCUCAGUUGGAUAGAGCAUCUGACUUCGGAUCAGAGGGUCGGGAGUUCGAAUCUCUCCGGGUGCACCA
rnacentral:tRNA from 1 species